rnacentral:sRNA from 1 species
UUGACAGCCCUGGAGACAGAAGCCUCUAUUUAUAUCCAUGGAGCAGGAAAAGCAUGGGGCAGAAGCAAACUAAGCAUCUGCCAUGCUGCCUCCUAAUCUCCUUCCAUCUUGUCUUUGACCUCUGUUCUGCAAAGAUUAUCACUGGGAGUGAAUAAGUAGUUUAGUCCUUGGUCUGCCCACUGAGGGCACAU